AUCUCUUUCUGGAGGUUGCUCCUCUUUAUGUUUUUUUCUGUGAGCCUAGGACACAGGUGCCUCCCAGGUUAUCUUUGAUCUUGCUGAUAAAACUGUCCUAACAUUAGAGCUGAAAUCUCACCUUGCACGUAAAGGACCUCGUGCACACGCAGUGUCUUUUCUGGCUUAUCAAAGACAGUUUUAAAAAGAGAAAUGUUAAGGAAACUUUACUGAAUGAGAUCUCCAGUGUCAGAACCCCCAGAUACUAUGUGAGAUGACAGGCAAAAAGGUGGAGACAGGGCAGACGCCUGUAUUCUCCUGUGCUGCCUGACAGGUGUCUGUCUGUCCCAGAUUCGUGCUCCAGAGCUGGCCUAACUAUUCUGCUCUGUGUUCUCAGUAUCCUGUCAGUGUGGGGGCCUCAGUGCUCUGACUCCAGUGCUACUAAAAUCAGAUGACAUCUUCCUGAGCCACAGUAAUAUGGUGAAGCCAGGGGAUAAAUGGAGUCAGUUCAUGGGUGGUGAACCAUCUGGCAAGCAGUGAACCUGGGAAAGGCAGAGCAUAUGCUCUAGGCAAAAUCAAAUGUCUUUUCAGAUAUAAUAGCUUCUCUGUAGAUAUCUUGUCUGAAAAAGAACAACUUUGUUUUUUGGUUUUGUUCAUGAUUUAGGAAAUUCUCCUUAUUUUUUCACUGGUGUAUGUACCUUUGUAAAGUUCUGUACAUGUAUGAAGAUAGAAAAGUAGUUAUGACUUCAUUUUUUGUGGCAACUCUAUGAUAUACCAUCAGUAAUGAUGAAUUAUGUUUCAGAUAUCAACAACGUUCAAACCAAUUUAGGACUUUGUAUCUCUUUUCAUUAAUACAGUGGGUGUUUCAGAUGCCAUAACCAAAAUAUCUAAAAUAUUUCUGAGAGCUUUUUUAUGAAGUUCACGGCACAUAACUUUGCUCCUUAGGUAUAAUUGUACAAUAUAAUAUGGUAUAAUGCAGCCACUAUAAAGAUAAUAAUUGGACAGGUGGAAUUUUCCUAAUAACGUGAUCUGAGUCUGUGAAAUCGGGUCAAGUAAAUCAUAGGUAUUUCCAACAUCAAUUAAAAAUGUGUUUAAUCUUGAUUUUUCUGUAAUAUAAGCCAGUCAAAUGUGCUCUUACAGACCUAUUUCUUUAACAUAAUUGUCCUUGACAAACAGUCAACCAGGGAUGAUAAGGAAUUUCCCUGUCUCAGAUCCCAGGCUUCAUUGUUCCUCUUCUUCCUGGCUUUCAUGCCAUAUGUUACUUUGUAUCAAAUGGUGUAAUGAUUACAUAAUACAUUUUGGAAAAACAGCUCUGUUGCAUCUAUUCUUUAUUCUCUCAUCUCCCUUUCUCUCUUUGUCAUUACUGAAAAAUAAACUCUAUGGGCAAUCC
ensembl:lncRNA